rnacentral:rRNA from 1 species
UACGAAGGGGGCUAGCGUUGUUCGGAAUCACUGGGCGUAAAGGGCGCGUAGGCGGCCGCUCAAGUCGGGGGUUAAAGCCUGUGGCUUAACCACAGAAUUGCCUUCGAUACUGUUUGGCUUGAGACCGGAAGAGGUGAGUGGAACUGCGAGUGUAGAGGUGAAAUUCGUAGAUAUUCGCAAGAACACCAGUGGCGAAGGCGGCUCACUGGUCCGGUUCUGACGCUGAGGCGCGAAAGCGUGGGGAGCAAACAGG